CAACACCCUGUACACGCGUCGCUAAUUGAAUCACAUAGGCUGCGCAAGCGCCGCGCAAUCAGACAUAGCGCUCAGUCGGCGCACGGGUCACCUGCCGUCAACAGGGCUUGCGACAUUUGACGUGCAUGCGCAUAAUAACUACGUAUUUACUUUUAACUUGGUAACGUAUUUUUCCACUGUUUUUCAAAUAAAUACUCAACUA